AAUAACAUAUCUGGGCUUUCAUCUGUAAUAGUAAGAAGUAAAUGCCAACACAAGUGAAAGAAAGUAGGAGAUGAAAUUCUAACCCUUUUUCUAGGUCAUGCUCCCCAACCCGCCACUGUUUUUGACUUCUGAGCGCGAGCGCGAGAGUGCUGGUUCACUAUCAGUGUUAUUUGGCGUGAGCUUCAGAAAGCUUCUCUGAAGCAGCUCAAAAGGUCAUUUUUACAAUGUCAAUUUUAUUUUGUUGGUUUAUUUUGGGUUGUAUUCAACUUCUAUUUUUAUGGAUUUUGGGUGGAAGAAAACAGAGGGAAAAGGCGUUUUAUUAGAACCAGUGAGAGCUUAAUUGCAAUGAAGGACUUCAAUCUGCGUGUCAGCUAGGUGUUCUAAGGGGAGAAAAAAAAAACCAAAACCACAGCGUUGCGCAAGUCGACUACGUAGUGCACGCAGCAGUAGCAUCAAAAUCAGAAACCUGACCCUGAAAAUGGCAGCACCGGCUAACAUUGAUGAUUUCAUUUUUCAGCUCAAUGAGACCAAGCCAACUAACAUUGAUAAGAGUACUUUGUACAUGUGUUUUAGAGAGCGGAUGCAUGAUAAGUCAGUGGUGUUAGUGAUUCUAGCUAUCAGUCUGAGCGAUCUGCUUAAUCAUACUGAAGGAGAAGAAGGCAAAUCACCUUGCCAAGUGGCUUAUAGAGAGCUCAAGAGAGAAUGUGAUGUGUUGGGUUGCGGCGUUUGUGAUUCUCAGAUUUUUUUCGUCGGCGGCGUCGGCGGUGACAAGAUGUAUUACUUUGAUCCUGAGCAACCCAAUCCAAAAAUGGGUACUAUUAGGAGGGGACCCCAGUCGAGCAAAAUAGAACCAUUUGUGUUGGAAAUGAACAAUGACCAAAGACUUUAUGUUCUCAGUCGUGUUCCCACCACUGGUUCGAAUUUCGAGGUACUCAAGAAUCCGUUCAUAAUGGAAUGGGUUGCCCUGCCGGAGCCUCCUUAUGACCGAAUCGGUCCCUAUUUUUGUCCUACAACAGACGGCAGCAACAUCUUUCUCUUGGGUCAGAACCCGCACGCUUAUAUAUGCCACUAUUCCUUUUCUAGAAAUAAAUGGAAAACGUACUCCGGCCCUCGCAGUCUUCCCUUCACCGUUGGCCCACCAGCUUUAAUCAUCCAAGACCAGCACUCUCACCAUAGGAUACUAUUUACCUAUGAAUUCUCUUCUCGUGGCGGCCCAGACACACCUUUAUUCAUAGGAGCCUAUCUCAUGUCCCCUGAUGAUGAUGCUAAUCCUAUUUUGUGUUUGUUGAGCACUCUAGAAUUUCGGCGUGGAGUGCCUUCUGAAUUUUGUGGCUCUCACUAUCAGUUAGUGCAUUGUGCGGAUCGACAUAUCUUCCUUAUUCUCUACUCAUAUUCGCCCCGAAUUCCAGAUCAUCAGCUUUCUCAUCAUACAGACUAUAUGAAAAUCUGCGUCAUCCAUCUUGAAUAUGAGUUCCACCCUACUAGAAACUUGACAAAUUCACGUUUCCUACUUUCCCGCCGAGGAGCUCCACACAUCCUGAAAUACUCGUAUGACCAUGGACUGCCCAAGAAGGAGCACGUGUGUAUGAUUGGUGCCUUUGUGCUGCUAUCUAUAAGUGGGGACACAGAGGAAACCGGCGAAGAUGGCUUUGCCCAUGGUGAUACACAAGAAACACAAGGCUGAGGAUAUUGUUCGAGAUUCAAGGUAACACUUCUGUUUGCGGAAACCAUGUUUAGUUCAACUUCAGAGAGGAAUACCAAGGAGAUGCAACUGUGGCAUAAAAUGCAGUCAUUUUGCCUCAAUUCCCUAGCUGAUGCCAUGUAUUUUGCUCGCAAGUGGGAUCUGAAAGCACAUAAUCGUAUCACUCUUGGCUUGUAAAUACUAAUUGAUUUGGCUGAUGGAUGGGCUAGUUGUUAGUUUAAAAGUACUAACUGCUUAUAUUGGGAUAUCUUACGGCUACCCAUGCUUCCAUA